rnacentral:lncRNA from 1 species
UCGCCUCCAAGACGACGCACCACCCUUCGUCCCCGCCAUCCAUUUCUGUCACCGCUGAGCCGCAGAUCCAGUCUCCUCUGCCACCGCCAGCGUCGACCUCUUCUCCACCGCCAGCGUCGACCUCUUCUCCCGAAGGUACGAGGAUUACCGCUCAACCUCCGCCUCCUGACCCUUCGAUGAAUUCGGCUCAGCCUUUAUCGGCUGAUGACAUCAAACUGAUCAUGGCUUCCUGCGGAAUCUCCGACAAGAAG